GAGAGAGAGAGAGAGAGAAGCAACCCACUUUGACCGUAAAAUUAACAACAUGCAGCUGCCAAUAAUUUACCAUGGUCCAUUUAAUCGAGUUACAACCUUCGUUUUUUACUUUCAAAGAUCAAUCUACAAAAUUCCACAACCACCACUUAAGCGAAGCCCAGCCAUUCAAUAAUCCCUACCCAUCAGCUUAAAAUUCAAUAUUUUAUACAUCCAUGCACUUGUAUGAUCUUAAAA
rnacentral:misc_RNA from 1 species